rnacentral:rRNA from 1 species
UCGAUUGAGUUUGAUCAUGGCUCAGGAUGAACGCUAGCGGCAGGCCUAAUACAUGCAAGUCGAACGGUGGUAGCAAUACCAUAGUGGCGCACGGGUGCGUAACACGUAACUAACCUACCUAUAAGUGGGGGAUAGCCCGCCGAAAGGCGGAUUAAUACCGCAUAAGCUGUGAGCCUGGCAUCAGGCAUUCAGUAAAGAUUUAUUGGUUAUAGAUGGGGUUGCGGGUCAUUAGCUAGUUGGUAAGGUAACGGCUUACCAAGGCGACGAUGACUAGGGGAGCUGAGAGGCUG